rnacentral:rRNA from 1 species
UACGAAGGGGGCUAGCGUUGCUCGGAAUUACUGGGCAUAAAGGGUGCGUAGGCGGUUUGUUAAGUCACUGGUGAAAGUUUUCGGCCCAACCGGAAAAUUGCCUGUGAUACUGGCGAACUUGAGUGCGUGAGGGGUGGGGGGAACGAGCAGUGUAGCGGUGAAAUGCGUAGAUAUUGCUCGGAAGGCCGGAGCCGAAGGGGCCCCACUGGUACGUAACUGACGCUGAGGCACGAAAGCGUGGGGAGCAAACAGG